GAAAGGGUUCCAAAAGGGUUCUUAGGCUGUAACCAUUGGAGAACCCGUUUUGGUUCGAGGUAGAACCUUUUGGGUUCCAGGUAGAACCCCUUGGGUUCCAUGUAGGACUCUCUGUGGAAAGGGUUCUACAUGGAAUCCAAAAGGAUUCUACCUGGAACCAAAAAGGAUUCUUCAAUGGGUUCUGCUAUGGGGACAGUCAAAUGACCCUUUUAGAUUCUAGAUUGCACCUUUUUUUCUAAGACUGUAGUGGUGGUGGUAACUAAUAAUAAUUCAAUUACCCUCAUUAGUGAACGUUCUAGAACAAGUGGAUUCCAACCCACAUAAUACACACAUGUCACUUUUACUCUUCACCCAAACACGGCAAACUUUGACCUCUAAGCCUCUCUGACCAUUGACCCUUCUCUGCCAUGAAACCUGUCUUGAAUUCCACUGAGGGGUUGACUAAGCCUGUAUCCUCCCCUUAGAAGGUAGAGUACCACAGACCUACACUCAGGUCUGUAGCACUGGCUGUCUGAUGGGUGUCUGAUUAAUGUUGGUGAAUCUGCAGCCACCCCUAUAUUCCUCCCCCAGCCCUCAUCCUACACCACCAUACUUCAAGAGGAUAUGUUUACAAACAGUGGGGUAGAGAUACACCAUGUUUAAAAGCAGGUGCCUGGUUAUCUCUGCCUUCAUAUAGCUUCAAAGAGACCCAAAAGGGGCUCAGAGGUGGGACUGUGCCUUAGAUGGUUGGACACAUCACGGGCCUUGGUAUUGCCAAUAAGGAGGAGGGUGCAUAGCACAGUACACCAUACGCAGCUGUAUUAUCUGAGGUGCAUAUUCUGAAAACAAAUUCAAACGUAAAACUGUUAAACACAGAAUACCAGUGGGAAGGAAUUAUACCUUCAUGGUUAAAUUAGCCAUUUCAAAAGCACUAAUGUAAGCUUCCUGCACUGUCAUGUCCCUUUUUUUAUUUUAUGUUUUACCAUUGCACACUUCUUUCCAAUCUCCCCCCCAAAAAGAAUGGGGCUUUGAGUAUUUUUUUCUCCAAAAAAAAGCAUUCCUGUGAAGAUUAAAAUGGAAGGUCCCAGGUGGCGGGUCCCCUGAACCAGCCCUCUAACAGCCUGAGUGACUCCUCAACAGACCCUCUACUACUUUGGCAUCAGCUGCUGAGCGGCAGUAGUAGUGGUAGUGGUAGUGGUAGUGGUAGAGGUAGUGGUAGUGGUAGUGGUAGUGGUAGAGGUAGUGGUAGUGGUAGAGGUAGUGGUAGUGGUAGAGGUAGUGGUAGUGGUAGAGGUAGUGGUAGUGGUAGAGGUAGUGGUAGUGGUAGUGGCAGUGGUAGUGGUAGAGGUAGUGGUAGUGGUAGUGGUAGUGGUAGAGGUAGUGGUAGAGGUAGUGGUAGUGGUAGAGGUAGUGGUAGUGGUAGUGGUAGAGGUAGUGGCAGAGGCAGUGGUAGCGGUAGAGGCAGUGGUAGUGGUAGUGGUAGUGGUAGAGGCAGUGGUAGUUGUAGUGGUAGAGGUAGUGAUAGUGGUAGUGAUAGUAGUAGUGAUAGUGGUAGUGGUAGUGGUAGUGGUAGUGAUUGUGGUAGUGGUAGUAGUGGUAGUGGUAGUGGUAGAGGUAGUGGUAGUGGUAGUGAUUGUGGUAGUGGUAGUGGUAGUAGUGAUAGUGGUAGUGGUAGUGGUAGUGGUAGUAGCUGUACACAUAGCAGGCAGGCUAGGUGCUCUCUGGCUCUGUAGGCUUCGAUCUCUCUACAGGUUACUCAGACUGAUAAUGCAGAGCCUCAGCUGCUCCUGGCCAGAAAGAGAUGCCAUUUACACAGCCAUUUUCUCUGUCUCAGUGUACACACACACAGUGUACACACACACACACACACACACACACACACACACACACACACACACACACACACACACACACACACACACACACACACACACACACCGAGGUGUCAUGCCCAUAGGGGGUAUCAUGCCCGCUCAGAUGUAUCCUGUUUAAAAUAUAUUUAUUAAAAAUAUAUAUACAGUACCAGUCAAUAGUUUGGACACACCUACUCAUUCAAGGGUUUUUCUUUAUUUAAAAAAAACUGUUUAAUAAUAGAAAACAUCAUAACUAUGAAAUAAUACAUAUGGAAUCAUGUGGUAACCAAAAAAAGUGUUAAACAAAUCAAAAUAUAUUUUAUAUUUUAUAUUCUUCAAUGUAGCCACCCUUUGCCUUGAUGACAGCUUUGCACACUCUUGGCAUUCUCUCAACCACCUUCACCAGGAAUGCGUUUACUUUUCCUUCACUCUGUGGUCCAACUCAUCCCAAACCAUGUCAAUUGGGUUGAGGUCAGGUGAUUGUGGAGGCCAGGUCAUCUGCAACACGCCAUCCCUCUCCUUCUUGGUCAAAUAACCCUUACACAGCCUAGAGGUGUGUUGGAUCAUUGUCCUGUUGAAAAACAAAUGAUAGUCCCACUAAGAGCAAAACAGAUGGGAUGGCGUAUCGCUGCAGAAUGCUGGGUAGCAAUGCUGGUUAAGUGUGCCUUGAAUUCUAAAUAAAUCACAGACAGUGUCACCAGCAAACCACCCACAUGCCAUCACACCUCCUCCUCCAUGCUUCACGGUGGGAACCACACAUGCAGAGAUAAUCCGUUCACCUACUCUGCGUCUCAGAAAGACACGCAGUUGGAACCAAAAUUCUCCAAUUUGUACUCAACAGACCAAAUGACAGAUUUCCAUUGCUCAUGUUUCUUGGCCCAGCAAGUCUCUUCUUCUUAUUGGUGUCCUUUAGUAGUGUUUUCUUUGCAGCAAUUCAACCAUUAAGGCCUGAUUCACUCAGUCUCCUCUGAACAGUUGAUGUUGAUGUCUGUUACUUGAACUCUGUCAAGCAUUUAUUUGGGCUGCAAUUUCUGAGUCUGGUAACUCUAAUGAACUUACCUUCUGCAGCAGAGGUAACUCUGGGUCUUCCUUUUCUGUGGCGGUCCUCAUGAGAGCCAGUUCCAUAAUAGCGCUGGAUGGUUUUUGCGACUGCAUUUGAAGAAACUCUUAAUUAAAGCUCUUGAAACUUUUGACUGGUACUGUGUAUAUAUUUUUUGUUAUUGUUGUUUCUCUGCAAUACUACUAGCCACCUAGACAUUUUAUGAAGAUGGCUUUAACUAGCCCAGAUAGUUAUGAGG
ensembl:lncRNA